UGUGGUAAUUUAGAGUUUAGCUCAUAUUUAAGCAACACACUAAAUAUUUGUGCAAACUUGGCAUGUAUUAGGGAUUUUUAAGCAAUUUUACUGCACAUUUUUAAGAAAUUGAGGUCAUAUUCAGCGUUCUAUUGUAGUUCUUAAAUUCCCAGUCUUCUAGCAAAUUUAACAGUUUGCAAAUAGCGUUUUCUUUUUCAGCAAAAAGCUUCAGCAUCUUCAGCUACUAUAUUCACACUAGCAAUAUCACAGGAGGAGCAGCUGCUGCUGUCCAGCAGAGGUGCAGGACGACGGCUGUGCACGAGUGUGCAGCUGUAACCGUAACGGACUGCCACGUCUGGUCCACGCUCCGGAAGUGUGAUCAGCCUAAGAGUGUGCUGGGCCCUCGGUGGGAACUCUGCGACAGGCGUGCACAGCUGUAAUGUGACGCCAUCCCUGGGAGGCCACGCCCAGUUCAUGCCGAGAAAGUGUGAUCAGCUCCAAAGGGGGGGAAUGGCGUGGUGACGGAUGACGGAGAAGGGAAUUUAGAGAGAUGGCUCUACAGGGUCAUUUAUAGUUGUAGCUUCAGCUCUUUUCCUUUCAGGCAUGCAUGAGUAAAAUAACUUUUCUCUGCUGUCACUGAUCUAAAAUCACUCUCUAUUAGAGCUCAGACAUCAUUAUGAAACUGACUGUCAAAGGAAAUCUGAAAAAUAAGAAUUAGUGAAAAAUAAAUAAGGUUCUUUUGUGGUUAUUUAAUGAAAAAGACAUCAAAUCCAGUGCUACACCUCUUAUUUUUAACGAUUAAUAAACGGUUUCUAGAAAUACAGACAUGUGCAUGUUUGGUAAUAAAAAAAGAAGAACCCACAUACUGUAUUUUAUAAACAGUUUUGGUACUGAUACUAUAAAGUACACGACCUAAGGUGAUAUUUAUCCCAAUUAGUACUAAAAUUGUUACAUUGAAAAUACUAGUUUUUAUCAUAUUACAUUUUUGAGUUGAUUGUAUUUGAUGAAAACUAAAAAAAAAUUGUAACAAAUUACAGAACUUUUGUUAAUUGAUCCUAUAUUUCGUUUUUUUCAGUGUUGACUAAAAAUCUUUUGUGAUUUUCUCUGCAGACGUAUGACUUAAGAUAAUAAUUUGAUUUGAUCUAUUGGUUUUUGUUCCACACAAUAAUUGUACCACAAAAAACUAAAAAAAGAAAAUAAAAACACACAGAUUCAUUAAACUCAUUUCAGAAACAAAGAAUUGCAUUGAUUAGAAAAUGAAUGAAAAUGUAAGACAAUAAGAGUGAAAUUACUCAUAUAUAUACAGAUUUUUGCAGUGAUGCAAUCCACACUUACAUCACAUUAGAUUAAUUAAAUACGAUUAUCGAGUAAAGUCUAGUAGAGUUGGAUUUUAUUGCUUGAAACGGAGUGGGAAGUAAGAAAUGUACAUAAUCUAUAAAGUUAUUACAUUUGAUAUUUUUGCACAGUUGUCAUAAUACGUUAAUUCAUAUCAAUGUAAACGGGUUAAAUGGGACGCGAGUGAAACACAAAGAAAGUGUUUUAAACUUUUACUUUUUUUUAAAGUCUGCAUUUGUUUUAGUUUUUUAAGUUUACUUGCUAAAUUUAUGUCAUAGUUUAUAUUGUUUUUUAUACUUUUCUUAUCAUGCGUGUUUUUUUUAUUUAUUUUUAUUUUUAAGAGUUUUAUCUUUUGGUUUUCUUGUGGCAAACGGACCUUGAGUCUCUAAUAAAGUAUUUAUAUAUUUGUGUUUCCACCUAAACUUGGUUCCAGAAUCUCCCACAACUUCUCCAUUUAUGGUAUCUUCCAAAUUCAGUGGAGUUUGGUUAGACGAGGAACAAAAAAAAGUCCAAAUUUGGGGAAAAAAAGUAACAUUACUGUCAUGGUUUUAAUGACAGCUCAUGCAUUUUUUUCUACCAAUUCUCAAAAAUUAUUUAAAAGUUGCCUUUUUGGAUGAAACUGAGACUUUUAAAGUCUCGGGGGCACACAGGUGAUCUGAAAUGUUCUGAAGUUGCUUUUUUUUGACUAACCUAGUGCUUUCGGAAAAUUUUGACGUUGAUUUUCUCCAAAAAGCCUCCAUGAGAGCCCAACUGGUUUAAACUGGUUGAUUGUGGUGAAUACUAGUCAUUCCUGGCCACCCAUGCUGCCGGCCUCAGGGCAGCAGCCGCUUCCCCCGACUGUGGAAGCAGAGAAGGGGAAAUGCUUUUCCACCACCUUUUAUCGGGUCACGUGGUCAACAAGAACUCUAUUUGUUGAGGGAAACCUGGAAGCCUGAGGGCCAAUAGUUAUGGUUAUGUUAGAGAUGAUCAGAUUAAAAAGAAAAAUAAA